rnacentral:lncRNA from 10 species
GAUCCUAAAUAAACAAACAAGGACAGCUGACUUUGCUUCUGUACUCUCCCAGCACGUCCACACCACAGAACAAAGAAUGCAGCUCUUGCAUGGUUUUGGUGGUUGUUUUUUGAGACAGGGUCGGCUGGGUACAGUGGCUCACACCUAUAAUCCCAGCACUUGGCGGGGCUGGGGCAGGAGUUUCACUUGAUCUCAGAAGUUUAAGACCAGCUUGGACAACAUAGUGAGACCCCAUCUCUACAGAAAAUACAGAGCAAGGCCAGGUGCAGUGGCUCACGCCUGUAAUCCCAACACUCUGGGAGGCCAAGGCGGGCGGAUCAUGAGGUCAGGAGAUCGAGAUCAUCCUGGCUAACAUGGUGAAACCCUGUCUCUACUAAAAAUACAAAAAAUUAGCCGGGUGUAGUGGCGGCCGCCUGUAGUCUCAGCUACUUGGGAGGCUGAGGCAGGAGAAUAGCGUGAACCUGGCAGGCGGAGCUUACAGUGAGCCGAGAUCGCACCACUGCACUCUCCUGGGCAACAGAGGGAGACUCCGUC